ensembl:lncRNA
CAGACCCAUCCCGGCUCCGCCCUACUUUCUGCAGACUGUGGUCACCGAAGGCAGUGAAUGAGGGGACUGGAGGCUGGGGUCGAGCCCCAGCUCUGGGGUCAGGUCUCUGACAAGUGUGGUAUGUGACAGGGCCUGCCCAGGGGGUGAGGGAAGUGAGGCACCGUCGACUGGCUUGGGGCUGCGAUAACCACAGCCCCACUGCCCAGUGAGGGGGGAGGCAUGAAUUCCGCCAACCCCUUCCAGCUCUGAUGUUCCGUCUGCAGCAGCCAAGCAGCUGUGGUGGACCAGGAGGAUUAAACCAGCUCCCGUGGCUUCCAAAAGCCAAACGAGGACCUAUGGCUAGAAGUUACAGAAGUGCCCGCUCGGGUCCCCAUGGAAGGAAAGCUACGUGCGAGGGGGUCUUCUCAGGAGUGAGCCAGCCCUUCAGUUAGUGAGUUCCCUGUCUUCGGAGGCAUCCAAGUGAGGCCGGAAGAGGCUAGUCAUUUCUAGCUCUGUGCCCGACCGUCAGGAUGCCUUGUCAUUUUCUGAGGAUGUGUCUUCUUCCCAGUCCUAUCAGGUCUGGAGACAGAGGCAGGGAGAAGCCGACAGAGUAGCAGAGUUCCAGCAGGGUUCAUUUGUAGCGCCUCCCAUAGCCAAGCAGAUGGGAGAAGGUGGUCCGUGCCUCCCCUCAGAGAGGCCCCUGCUCAUGUCACGUCGACCUUCGGUUCGGUUCAUACGCUCUCUGAGCCAUCCUCUGCUCACCUGUACCCUGGGGUCAUAAUCGGCCCCCCGCUUCGUAUGGUGACCAAAACAAUGCUUCCGGAGAGCUUUCGGUAAAUAUCACACGCCAAGUGUGAUCUCUUUAUUCCUGGACAAAAUGGAAACACCAGGACAACCACCGAAUCCAGAGUCCCUGGGAGGGGUUACUGCCGCCAGCUGGCUGGGAGGCAGAGACACCACAUGCAGGUCCAAACGCUCUCGGCCUCAAAGAGCGGAACAAAUCCCACAGGGGUAUUGAUUGAAACCAUUACGGAUUCGUGGAGACAACACGCCGGCCGGGAAUGGAGUCAGCUGCCGCCGCCUAUUUCCAUAAGGGAUUACCAUGUAAUUGAGAGGGGAAGACCGCUAAUGGCAGAGGCAAAGGCCAAUUCAGCCCCCACGCUCUUGGCUGCACAGCAAGGCUGAGCCGCUGAAGGAGAAUCAUUCGUGAGAGGCUCUGGAAGGAAAAGUUCACCAGGACAAAGCCCAGGGAGCGGAUCCAAGGAGAAGCGGGAAAGAAUCCAUUGGGGGACUAUUUACUGAGUGCUCACUGCAUGCGCCUGGCACGAGAGGGAGGACACGACAGGAACUGCCCCCAUUGGCCAUCGACAGGGCGCCAUGAUGGAUUGAAACAAGAGAAUGACGGGGCCAGUUUUCUGCUUGAGAAAGCUCACCCUGGCUGUAAUAUGGGGAAUGGAUUGGAAGGCGCGAGAGUGGGGACUGGGGGAUGAUUUAGGAGGGCACUGCCGUGACAAGUCUGAAUGAGUGGUGGCCCGAACCGAUAUAUAAUAUUAGUAGACAGGGAGAAGAGAGAUCGUCCAGAUGUAUUAAGAAGGGAAAGACCGAAGGGCUGGUAACGAAUGGAUGUGAUAAUAUAGAAGGAGUCCAGAAUGAUGGCCAGGGUUCUGGCUGUAGCAACCUGUGUGGGUGACGGUACCCUCCAUAAGACCGGCGGAUGUUCAGCUUAGUCCUGGCGGGAUUACGUUUAAGAAACCUACAAGACACCCCAAUGGAGACCUCAGUGGACAGCUAGUCAGGAGAGUGACCUGAGCCGGAAUGGGGAUUGGGAAGUUGCCGAGAGGAAAGGGAU